GUAGUGAUGUAAUUUUGUGUCCCUAUAUAAUUAUUAUGUAGAGAUGUAAUUACCUGUAGCUAUGUGUACUACAGGUAGAGAUGUAAUUACCUGUAGCUAUGUGUACUACAGGUAGAGAUGUAAUUACCUGUAGCAAUGUGUACUACAAGUAGAGAUGUAAUUACCUGUAGCUAUGUGUACUACAGGUAGAGAUGUAAUUACCUGUAGCAAUGUGUACUACAAGUAGAGAUGUAAUUACCUGUAGCUAUGUGUACCAGUAGCUAAAAUUGUUUUUGCACUUGUGUAUAUGUUGUAUUCGCUAUGAGACAGUAGAACACAAUAUUUAGUUAAAAUUGAAUCAUCUGUGAAUUUAUAUACAAUUCUCGUCACAUAAAAGCCUGCUAGGACAUGAAAUAAAGACAUAGUGUUAAUUUUUAAACUUUUUGCUUAAUUCAUGUGAAUAUUGAAUAUAAAUUAUGUGAUAAAUAUCAGUGUUAUAAGAAAUCAUUCAAUAAGGUAAAUAAAUUCAAAGUGACAUGGACAUGUUUGUAAGAUGAUGUGUAUCAUGUUUUAUCACCUCAGGUAAUUUAGUGCAGUCAUUAAUAAGAUAUAUUUUUUAGUUUGACAAUCUAGUGCUCUAAACAUGUAUACAACAAAAAGAUCAUGUAUGUAUUUAUAGUAAUACAACAUAUCUGGUUUGGUACAUCGCAUUAAUAAAUAACUAUAUAUGUA